rnacentral:rRNA from 1 species
UACGUAGGUGGCAAGCGUUGUCCGGAUUUAUUGGGUUUAAAGGGUGCGUAGGCGGUCUUAUAAGUCAGUGCUGAAAUAUCCCGGCUUAACCGGGAGGGUGGCAUUGAUACUGUAGGACUUGAGUAGAGUUGAGGUUGGCGGAAUUGACGGUGUAGCGGUGAAAUGCUUAGAUAUCGUCAAGAACACCGAUAGUGAAGACAGCUAACUAAGCUCAAACUGACGCUGAGACGCGAAAGCGUGGGGAGCGAACAGG